rnacentral:rRNA from 1 species
AUUGAACGCUGGCGGCAUGCUUUACACAUGCAAGUCGAACGGUAACAGGUUAAGCUGACGAGUGGCGAACGGGUGAGUAAUGCAUCGGAACGUGCCCGAUCGUGGGGGAUAACACUUCGAAAGAAGUGCUAAUACCGCAUACGAUCUGAGGAUGAAAGCGGGGGACCAUAAGGCCUCGCGCGAUCGGAGCGGCCGAUGUCAGAUUAGGUAGUUGGGGGGGUAAAGGCUCACCAAGCCGACGAUCUGUAGCUGGUCUGAGAGGACGACCAGCCACACUGGGACGGAGACACGGCCCAGACUCCUACGGGAGGCAGCAGUGGGGAAUUUUGGACAAUGGGCGCAAGCCUGAUCCAGCAAUGCCGCGUGCAGGAAGAAGGCCUUCGGGUUGUAAACUGCUUUUGUACGGAGCGAAAAGGCUCCCUCUAAUACAGGGGGCUUAUGACGGUACCGUAAGAAUAAGCACCGGCUAACUACGUGCCAGCCGCCGCAGUAACAC